rnacentral:rRNA from 1 species
CCCGCUGAACUUAAGCAUAUCAAUAAGCGGAGGAAAAGAAACUAACAAGGAUUCCCCUAGUAACUGCGAGUGAAGAGGGAAAAGCUCAAAUUUAAAAUCUGGCAGUUUCACUGUCCGAGUUGUAAUUUAGAGAAGUGUUGCCCGCGUUGGACCGUGUACAAGUCUCCUGGAACGGAGCGUCAUAGAGGGUGAGAAUCCCGUCUUUGACACGGACUACCAAGGCUUUGUGGUACGCUCUCGAAGAGUCGAGUUGUUUGGGAAUGCAGCUCUAAAUGGGUGGUAAAUUCCAUCUAAAGCUAAAUAUUGGCGAGAGACCGAUAGCAAACAAGUACCGUGAGGGAAAGAUGAAAAGAACUUUGGAAAGAGAGUUAAACAGUACGUGAAAUUGUUGAAAGGGAAACGCUUAAAGUCCAGUCGCGUUGGUUAGGAAUCAGCCUUGGUUUUCCUUGGUGCACUUCCUAGUCGACGGGUCAACAUCAGUUUUGACCGUUGGAUAAAGGUCAAGGGAAUGUGGCACCUUCGGGUGUGUUAUAGCCUUUGAUUGUAUACAGCGGUUGGGACUGAGGAACUCAGCACGCCGAAAGGCCGGGCCUUGUACCACGUUCGUGCUUAGGAUGUUGGCAUAAUGGCUUUAAUCGACCCGUCUUGAAACACGG